rnacentral:lncRNA from 1 species
GUGGUGUGUGUGAAUGUGUGUGUGUCAAUGUGUGUAUGUGUGAAUGUGUGUGUGUGGUGUGUGUGAAUGUGUGUGUGUGAAUGUGUGUAUGUGUGAAUGUGUGUGUGUGUGCGCGCGCGCACAUGUGUGUGUGUGAAUGUGUGUGUGUAUGUGUGUGUGUGAAUGUGAAUGUGUGUGUAUGCUUAGCAAUCCACAUGGCUGUCAUUUUUCUGCUUAGAGACAGGACUUAAUUUUAUUUCUUUUGUCUCAGGAUUGCCUGGUACCAAAGGUGAUAAGGGAGACAUUGGUGUUGGCAUUGCAGGAGAAAAUGGUCUCCCUGGCCCUCCAGGUCCUCAAGGGCCUCCAGGUUAUGGCAAGAUGGGUGCAACCGGGCCAAUGGGCCAGCAAGGCAUUCCUGGGAUCCCUGGCCCCCCGGGGCCCAUGGGCCAGCCAGGGAAGGCAGGCCACUGCAACCCCUCAGACUGUUUUGGGGCCAUGCCAAUGGAGCAGCAGUACCCGCCCAUAAAAAGCAUGAAGGGGCCUUUUGGUUGAAGCUCCUGCUCGCACUGAGAGGAAGGACUCUACUAGGAAUAAAUGGCCAAAGCUUACAGGACUCUGACAGGUUGUGAAUGUUUGUACUAUUCUUGUGUUUGUUGUUUUGUUGUUGUUGCUGUUAAUAUUUUUUUUAACAAUAAAGAAAGAAAACUAUCUGUAACCCCACUUCCAUGGGGUUCCCCUGGUGCUGCA